UAGACCUAGUGGGAUAGUCGGCGUGGUUGGUUGCCGAACCCACUCGGAACUUUGUUGUAGUUCUCACACCCUUACUUUUACAGAGCCGGGACCCAGCGAGCCGGCGGACGAUCGCGGUAAGGGCAUCGCGCCCUAGGUAGAGACCGCCCGAGUUGUUCGUUUACCUUAGUUGCAUACCCACUUAUUACGUCAUCUUUUGUACUUUGAUGAUUUAAUUGUUAAGGGAAAAAGAACUUGUAUGAUGUAAAAGAUUAUAUUUAAAUACAAGAAUGAUAUUUUGAGAUCCUGUGGUGUAACAGAAAAGAAAUGAUGCAAAGUUGU
rnacentral:lncRNA from 1 species